GGUGACCUACGGGGCGCAGCAGUGAGGAAUAUUGGUCAAUGGGCGCGAGCCUGAACCAGCCAAGUCGCGUGAGGGAGGACGGCCCUACGGGUUGUAAAGCUCUGUUGCGGGGGAAAAAAGGCAGCAUCAGGAAAUGGGUGCUGACUGAUGGUGCCCCGCCAGAAAGUCACGGCUAACUACGUGCCAGCAGCCGCGGUAAUACGUAGGUGGCGAGCGUUAUCCGGAAUGAUUGGGCGUAAAGGGUGCGCAGGCGGUCCUGCAAGUCUGGAGUGAAACGCAUGAGCUCAACUCAUGCAUGGCUUUGG
rnacentral:rRNA from 1 species